GGGAGUUGUGAGCCCGAGCUGUGAGCUCCUCAACUCCGCGGGGGCCGUGCCAGGAGACUCGGGGCGCACAGUCCUCGGAGAGGAGGUGUGUGGUGCAGAAUAUGAGAGGAAGAUGUGACAGGAAGAGAACAAAAUCGAUUGUGUGGACACAGUGGUCAGUAAAAUUUCAAAUGUGUCAUCGAGUUGGAGCUCCUGGCCAAUGCAGUCCUGCUGGAUCAGCUGUGUCUGAGGCACACAGUGCCUUUGUUUCACCUGGAGAAGAGCAGCACUGCUGGGCUGAUGUGAGCAUAACCACUGCACCCUUUCCUUACCCAUUUCCGGUGUUACAGGGAGUUUUUUUCUAUUAAAAAUUAGAAAAUGUAAAUUACACACUAAUCAGAUUGCAAAUAAUCCUUUUAAGCGCUUAGUGAUACAGAUGAAGAAACCUCAUGGUUUACUAAUCAAAAGACAGAACCAAAUUAAUAAAUACUUAAUUACGUGGUGGCAGGGUGGGGGUGAUCCAGUGAAAGGGAUGUGGGGAAUGAUCUUGAUGGCUGCAGUCUCUGUAGAAGGCUCUCUUCAAACAAGAGUUUGAAGGAACUGGAGAAUCUCUUUAAACAAGACCCUGCAGAGGCUCCUCGUGCUCCUCCCUGGAAUGACUCCAUGUUAAAGUGAACACCAGCACUUGCUUAAAGGGUGCUGUGUAGAAAAGGUGUGUGACACGACUUCAAAUCGACCUCAGCAGUCACCUUGGCCUUUCACGUUUCAAACUACUUUUUGUUUCUUCAGGCUGAGCUGAGGGUCUCUUGAAAACAGGAUUAGGAUCCAAAAAAACGAAGAAAAUCGUUUCUGUUGCUGCAGAUGCGAGGAGGGCGGUGGUGCAGCUGCUGAGGCACGGAGCAGGUAACCGAGGUGAAAGCACGGUAUCGGCCAGAACCGUUUGCUGCGGCAGAGAAGACGCCGCCGCCGUUGAGACACCCUCGGCCGGGUACCUGCCUGGGGCCAGCGGCUCCGCCGUUACGGGGUGCGCUAGGCGGCCGGAGCCCUGCGGAGCGGGGGUACAGGACCCGGCGCUCCGCAGAGGGACCCGGCUGCAGCCGCCGGGCCGGGGCUCCGCCUUCCCCUAAAAAUUAAGGGGAGAGCUUCCCCCAGCGCGGUUCCAACCCAGGCACGGACGGGGUUCGAACCCGUGAUCUUCGGUUUACGAGACCGACGCCUUACCACUUGGCCACCGCGCCUGCGUUAAGGAGUCCUCCCAACGCCUUUCUAUCGCUGGCGCCACUCCCGCGCACCCGCCCACAGCCCGCCCUCGCGCGCGCCUGCGCCGCCACCUGCCGGGGGCGCGCGGCCCUGAGGCGUUGAGGGCGCGGCGGGGGCUGAGGGGAGGAGCGGGAGGGAGGGACCGGAACUGCCGCUGCUCCCGGGCUUCUUCUGGCUCCGCUCCGGGACCCGGCUUUCCUUUUAUCUCCCUGUCUCUCACGCACCCUCCUGCUCUCGGAGCUGACAGGAGCCUCCCCUCCGGCUGCGGAGGCGUUCUGAGGGCAGUGCCCUCUGCCCGUGUGGGCCCCGGGGCUGUGAGGAUGCGGUGCCCGGAGAUGGCACUCGAGGGGCCACAACAGUUUAGAGAGGGGGGAAAAAAGCGGGAUUAAAACUUUCCUCCUCCGAGAAGAGAAGCAGGAGUGCAAAACGUUGGGAUAAUUAAAUGGUAAAUACUAAAUUAAACACACUUGCUGCCUGGUAGCUGUUCCCUGAAAAAACUCAGUGUUGUGAAACGCAGAAAAGAUACUUUCUAGGUAUUUUUGAGACUGGGUCUCCUAGAUUUUUUGUCCUGAAAACAAGUGGGACCUGAAAACAAAGCUUUUAGUUUUAAUUUAAUCUUCAUUGUGGAGGUCUGUUUCAAUUCUCCAUGAAACUGUUACUUGACGUCCAAGUUUUAUUUUCCUUUUGGUGUGGUUUUGGUUUCCUUGUGGAAGAAGCAUGUGAAAGUAAAAACUUUGUAAAGUUUAAGAUCAGAGUUACUGAUUCGGUAGUGCUGUAAUGCAGGUGCAUUAAAAGGUUGAUACAGAACCAAAAUAGUUUGGCUUGGAAGAGACCUCCAAAGGUCCUCUAGUUGAACCACCCUGCAGUGAGCAGGGAAAUAAUUACAUAUCCUUUUGGGAUGUUCUUUGAACUCUCGUCAUGGAAAGUCAUGCUUGAUGCCUUGAAUGUGUGAAAAAAAAUUAGUUCUUUAAAAGUUCAUAAUUUGUUAAUUUGUCUGUAAAACUCUAUGCCUGCUCGUAUUUAAACAGAGUGAUUGGAAUUACCUUGACCUGCAGUGAAAAGUUUUUAAUUUAAAUUACCUUACUGGAUAGUCAGCCCUUGUUAAGCGUGUUCGCCUCUACCUUGGAAAAGCUGCCCCAAAAGUGACAUAAUUUUCCAGUCCCUAGGGGCAUAACUGAUGGCCUGGCCAAUCCUAAUGCUUACUGGAAUUUAUCUGCUAGUCUUGUUCAUCAAAUGCCCUCUUCAGCACUAUGGAAAGCAAGGAAGUGAGAAUAGCACUGUUGUGUUCUGCUUUUGUCUUGUCAGUAUAAUCACUGCAGCAUUUCCAAGUGUGAUGGUGUGUAGGAGUGGAUGCUGCCUCCCUCAGCUCUCAUACCUGUAAUGUUUGUGAGCAGGUUGACCUCAGCGAGCCCCUGGCUGAAGGAGUUACUCUUAGUAUUACCAAGCUGGCAGCAGGAAGAAGUUCAGUUUUAAUCAAUCAUGUUUGAUUGAUGAUAUGCCAUUUCUGGCCUACUUGCUUAUUACAAAAUACGCUCUUUUAUGUGCCAUACUUGCUAAUUGUAAUUUGCCAUCACAGUUUCUGUGCAGCUCACAUCUGUGUUUACUGAUGUUUUUGGAUCCUUGUGAGCUGAGAGGCAAUUCUGAGGUGAGUGCGACGGCUGUUUGAUUUGUUGGUGGAAUUCUUAUAGAUUUUAUGUCUUCAAAUACAUUAAUUUAAUAAAUGUAUUUGCUUGACAAUGGGAAUAGUAUUUAAUGGUAAAUCAACUUCUAUUUAUCAAGUUCUUCCUUAUGGAGAAACGGAAACUUCAGUUUUAAUUCAUAAAGAUCUUCUAACUAGAUUAAGAGGAAAUACUUGAUUUGGUUUAAAAAAUUUGUCAACUCUCUGAGCCUAACUUCCUUAGUGUGUCUGGAGAAACUGUUUCUGUCUAAACAAAGUGCUGUUUAAUGGUGAGCUGAUUUAUUGCAAUAGUUUUUAUAAUUAAAGAAGUUAACUUCAUUUUAAGAAGUGUAAUUGCCCAUUCAAUGUCCGGAUACUUUUGUUUGGAAAUGUCUUUUAUGCUGGCCCUCACCCUUGUUUGAGCUCAGUGUGAAUGUGAAAGCCCUUCCUCCAUGCUGAAUCCUCCUCGUGCUUUAAGGGCUGUUCUCUUCUGACACACGAGCUUCUUUUAAACACAACAUGGCUUCUCAAAAGGGAAGUCUGAGAGGACUCUA